GACUCGUAAAAUAAUCUUUGACUUCUCGUAAAAUUGGGUUAAAAAGUUCCUAAAAACUCACUUUUCUACCAACUUUUUCACCAGAAAAUCAACUAUUUCCAGCAACUAUUUUCGUUAUUUUUACUCACUUUUCCACUUUUUUACUUCAAAUUUUGCGUGGAAUCCCUGUAUCUUAUAAUGUCGUUCA